ACUUAAGUAGUUUAAUUAAAAAAAUUUUGAUUUGUGGUGUCAUAGAUGUAAUAAUUUACCUUAAGUU
rnacentral:tRNA from 1 species